AGUGGCAGACGGGUGAGUAAUGCAUAGGAAUCUACCUAGUAGUACGGAAUAAUUGUUGGAAACGGCAACUAAUACCGUAUACGCCCUACGGAGGAAAGAUUUAUCGCUAUUAGAUGAGCCUAUAUUAGAUUAGCUAGUUGGUAAGGUAAUGGCUUACCAAGGCAAUGAUCUAUAGCUGAUCUGAGAGGAUGAUCAGCCACACUGGAACUGAGAUACGGUCCAGACUCCUACGGGAGGCAGCAGUGGGGAAUAUUGGACAAUGGGCGAAAGCCUGAUCCAGCCAUGCCGCAUGAGUGAAGAAGGCCUUUGGGUUGUAAAGCUCUUUCGGUGAGGAAGAUAAUGACGGUACUCACAGAAGAAGUCCUGGCUAACUCCGUGCCAGCAGCCGCGGUAAUACGGAGAGGGCUAGCGUUAUUCGGAAUUAUUGGGCGUAAAGAGCGCGUAGGCUGGUUAGUAAGUUAAAAGUGAAAUCCCAAAGCUCAACUUUGGAAUUGCUUUUAAAACUGCUAACCUAGAGAUUGAAAGAGGAUAGAGGAAUUCCUAGUGUAGAGGUGAAAUUCGUAAAUAUUANGAGGAACACCAGUGGCGAAGGCGUCUAUCUGGUUCAAAUCUGACGCUGANGCGCGAAGGCGUGGGGAGCAAA
rnacentral:rRNA from 1 species